GCUUUGGGCUCAUCGACAUGAUUCGGCGGCUGGGGAAAAAAAAAAAAAAAAAGGAAGGGGAGGCAAAUCUUUUUUUUUUUUUUUUUUUUUUUUUUUUUUUUUUGCCAAAUAUUCUGGUGUUGCCUUAACGCCGAUCUUGUUGGAUGUACACGUAACCGAGUGGACGAAGUCCGCCUUAAUUGGAUUGAGUGGAGGCUCAGGGCUGCCUUUCGUUUGUUUUAGCCAGACGCCAGGUUUUAGGCUGCCACCAGAGGCGGGGCAUAGGCACUAAAGCAACAAGACAAUAGAAGCCUACAUCUUGCCCAAGAUAAUUAGCUUACAUGCUGAUGACAAGGGAUAGGUGGAAGAUGCAAGUUUCCAAAAUCAAGCAGUAAUUUAAUUGCCUGGGGCGAGACAUCGAUGAAAAAUAGAUUAGCGCAAGAUGUCGCUUGUUAUUCUCAAAGGCAAAGACUCUUCACAGGCACUCGUGGUCCUUCUGAACCAGAAGCUGCUUUCUAAGGUUAUUUAUACAGCACGGGAGCUGGAUGGAGAAGACCUCUCAGGUCAUCUGCUACACGACCUUGCCAAUGAAUUCCCUGUAGUUUCCAAUGAACUGCAAUUUCUGGCACUUUCAGAUCUGUUCUCGGAUCCGGUGUGAAAACAAAAGCGAUCCAUUCACAGCCACACACACAUGUACAGGCAGCCAGCAGCUAAUGACACUUGGGGCUUUGAAGAAAUUUCCCAAUGCCUAGUGUUUCCAAAGCUUAUAUUUCGGGGUGAUCUGGGCGGAGGAGAGAAACCACCCCUGAGUGUUUCACAUUCCGGCCUACGGCCCUGGCAAACCCAAUUUAAUACAGCGAUUACACGGAUAUUCAGAAAAUUACAGCGAAGGUACAGUUAACCCUGGGACUUUGAAGUGUCAAGUAACUAUUUAGUAAUUGCGCUUGUAAAUAUGUUUGUGCUCGGCUGGUUCGUGCUUAAAAAUGCAAAAGUGCACUUGCUACCCAGGAAUAACUAAAUAUCUUUGUCUAAAGUGGCAGCAUAAAUAGCCGGUCGCUUUGUGACUGUGCUUGAUAUUAGUACAUAAGGAUCAUUUUGCUUCAAUUGGGAGGCUCUCAUUCACUAGGCAAGAAACCGUUUAGGAGCAAGUAGGUUCCCGUAUGAGAGUUAACAUCCUUCAAGUGUAAGCCUCAGUCUUGAUUACACUUUAGAGCUCUGCAAGAGGUGAGCUUUUCCACACAAAUAUAAUCGGGGGAACUUUCCUUCAAUCAGGUCUCCAGCUCUCUUACAUCAUCUCAGCUGCUUCUUUCGGCAUCAGCUCCCUCAAGGUUGAAUAUCCCGAAGUGGGCUGGUUGUGAGUCUGCUGGGUCACUGAAGGCAGGGAAGGGCGACUUCGGGCUAGAAAGGCGUUUGCUUUUAUCUCUUCUCUUUCCUCUUUUCUUUCAAAAUCUUACAAUCUUGUCUUUCCAAAUUUCUGGAACACUUCUUCCCCCCCUUCCCCCCCCCCCCCCCCCCCCGCCCCCGCUUUUCCCACUUUUUGCGCGUUUUUCAGUACGGUCUUUGGUUUUGUUCCUACAGAAAGAGACACUUGGUGGUUUGGUUGUUUUGGGUUUAUGGUUGUUGUUUUCCCCCCGAAUUUCUCAAACACAUCAGCUCCGUGCCUGUUUCAUGAGCGUUAAAAAGAAGGGGGUGGAUGGAAGGGAAAAAAAUUAAAUCCCACAGGAUCCACUAAAUGACGCUGCGGUCGGCUUUAAUCAGAGAGGAAAGAUGGCAAGUGGCCGCGCAAUUUGUGGGCAGAAGCAGCGACUCCUUUUCCAUCCAAUGCGUGCGAGGUGGGGCAGCUGGGGAGGCACCAGCACCAGCUCUGGCAGCGGUGCGCGGAGCGCUGGGCGCGGGGGCUGGAGAGGCACCCCGCCGCCCUGCGCCGUCCCCGGAGCUCCGCCGGAACGACCCCCUUUGCCUCCGGCUGCGGUUGGGAGAGCUUAUUUAUCCUCCCGCUGGAAGGACACCAGGUUAAAUCGCCUCCGAAAUAUUGCUCCGUUAGGUUAUCCCGAGCGACUCUGGCCUUGGCUCUGCGCGGGGUCUGGUAGAGGCAAGUUAAUGAGAGAGCACUCCGUUCACCUUUGUUGGGGAGCGGGUGAAACCAUCUAUGUGGGUCUGACUGCUGAGUUAGGAAUACACUGGCGCGCGUACAGGCACAGCUACGCCCCGCCGGGUCCCGACAGCAAUUUUUAGCCCCGCUAGAUCGACUCGGUGAAACGGAAGCAGGUCAGACCCUCUACCUUCUUUCCCUCUCCAAAUGAGUUAUAACAGGGCGAGUCACACAGCAGACAAGGGGCGAGAAAACUUCUUUGCUGUUGCCGUGUCCCGUCGCUCACCCUUUUCUUUCAAACCCUCCACCCGAGCUUCGUCGAACAGAGAUGGCUGCCCCCAGCCCCCGGAGAGAGUGGCCGCCCCGACAGGGUCCUGCCUAGGCUGCCUUUAGUGAUAUGUUCGUGUACCUGGUGAUGCUGUUUAGUAAAUCACUCGAGUUAAAAAGAAAUGCUAAGAAGGAUAGCAAGGAAGAUAAGAUGCGUUUUGCCUGGUGGAAGCAUUUUCAUGAGAAAGGCACGGUUUUCACCUCGUGUUUGCAGAAAUGCGGCUACACGGACGUCCCUUCAAUAGCUUCUGACCCCACACAAUCCUUUUGAUAACACUCAAGAGGUGGAAGAAUGGGAGACUUUGUCAAUCAAAUGGUGCCAAUCCCAAUGGAAACGGUGCCACCAAGACCGCAGCGCGUUUCCUCAUCAACUGGAUUGCGGGGGCUGGGAACUCAAGGAUCAGCUUUUGAAAGUGCGCACGGGGCUCUCCAAAGAAAACAAUGUCUUUUUUAUACGAGCUGCUGUGCCUCCCCAAGGGGAAUCAAAUGUGCUCGGCCAGCCAGAGCUGUCGAAGGGCUCGGAGGGCAGAGGGGAAGGGUCUCACGCAACACACCGCCAAAUUCUUUCUCAACAAGAAAGACUCUUCCUAGGCGUAACUUUUUGAUACAAAGACUUAGGUGCUCCGUGGUCCCUAUGGGUCAGUACACGGGCGCGUGUCUGGUUCCGCCAAGCUACCGGCACAAUGGGACAACCCCUGUCCAGCCUUGCUACCCCCUCUCUCAGCGCCGAGGAGUCGGCCCUGCCCGUUGCCCUGCCCGCAGUCGUACAGCCCUCUCUGCCGCGGGAGCAGGGCUCUGCAGAGGGGCCAGCCGCUCCUAAAGAGGUUGGAGUUAGAGGGGUCAAGAGCAGAUCUUGGACAGGACUCUUUCUUCUCUCCUGGUCAUCAGCACAACUCUAACACAUCCAUAGAGAGAUGUAAAGGACCGUCCCCAGAUCCUACACUUUGAAAAAGGACACCGCCGGGGCAGCUUGUCGCAACUCUUCCCUCUCGACCCACCCUUAGCAAGCUCAUAGAAACUUCAUUUGAUUGCUUGUGCAUGUCGAUGUUAUACACCCUCUGUCGCCCCAGCCCUCCGCAUGAGGGAUGAUGUGCCCGGCACACCUACGCCGGUAGCGGAGGUUUCUGCAGUAAUCGGGUAGGGCGGACUUGUGUCACUGCCGGCCACGGGCAGGGCGCCGUGAGCCUCUCACUGCCUGGAAAGCACAUGCUUGGGCGUGUAAGGCAGGAGUCCUCCCAGAGACUCACCUUGGGAGCGCUCCCUAGGCAUGGAGCGCUCUGUGUGUUUGGGCGAGGGGGGGCGGGAAAGCCUGCUGUGGCUCAUGGGGACAAUUCCUCGCCAUGAGAAAGCCCCCCUGCCCUAAUUAUCUCAUUCGGGCGCAAGAAACUCAUCAAUACACCGGCCGAAACCUCUUCCCCUGGCAUGGGAACCCAAGGCAACCAGCGAGACCACCAAAGACUAAAGCGAAAAUCCUCACCCCUCCGCAGCGCACGCACAGUUGCUCCUCCAGCUGCCCAGGGCGUGGAGCAUCUCGCAGCUGGGGGUUCUCGGGGCCCCUUCGUCACGGGUACCUAGCGGCCCGGCUCACAAGGCUCAGUGCGAGCGAGGGUAGCGCUGCCUCCGCGCAGCUCUUUUCCCUCCUUCCCCAAUUCCUGGCAGACGGCUGAGCCCUUCUGCCCUAAUCCUCCGACACCCUCCUCGUCCUUUCCUUCGCCAGGCCGUUCCCGGCCAAGAGGGCCAGGGUGGAGCCAGGUGCGGGGUGCCAGGGCAGGUCUCCUGGAGCCGCAGCGGCGGGUGGAGGGCCGCCGUGCCAGGGCGGGGGCGGCAGGGCCCCGGCGCACGCCUCGGCCCGCCAGCCCCACCGCGCCCCUCCGCGGCUGCCCAGCGCGGGGACCCGGGGGAAAGGACUGUUUGCAGGCGUGACUGCCCCGGUAGUCUGAGAUGGAUAGCAGCAGCAUUCGCACAGAUGUGUGAACUGCUGUCUGAUCCCCUCAUCCUGGUACCGAUAUUAUCAGCAGUUAAUAUAUGCCCUCCACAUCUGGGUUCUUUAGUAUCAGUAGACUGUCACCGCCGCAACACUGUCAGUACACACAUACAAGACUUAUUGUUGCUCCAAACUAUUUUUGAUACACUCAAGUCAGAGGUGAUUUAUGCGGAGAAUUUCUGGAAGGUAGGUGUUGAGACAAUUUACAAAAAGUUAGUUUGUAGAGAUAGUUAAAAAUAUAGGCACGGUUUAUGUAGAUAUAAACUCAGGCAAAAAUACUUUUUAUUGGUAUGUGUCUACAAACAGAAUCCCACUGCGAUCUAUCUAUCUGCUUUUAGGUAUAGCUAUCAGUAUAGUACAAUAGAUAGCUUAGGAGUUAUGUGCUUUUGUGUGUGUUCUCAGGCAAGCCUACACACACACACACAUAGAAGCGUGGGGGUGCAUACCUCCGGCAGUGGGUAUGUAUGAGUAUAUAUUUACGCAUACAUUCACAGUCCUCAACCCUGUCGUCUCUUAAGUAUUUCAAAAAGGAACUCAGCUUUUAAGUGGGUCACCUCGCCGCACUCCCUUCCCCUACCCUCGCCCAGGCUCGCGGCCGCGCCGGCGCCGGGGAAAGGGGCUCUCGGCUCCCGGGUGGGGUUGGACGCGGAGGCGAAGGACAUGGACGUGCCUGUGGGUGCAGAGCGAAGGGGCGGGCUGGGAGUCGUCCCGGCCGUUUGAUUUAUCGCAGCCCUUUUCUGUUCCAGCGUGGCUGGCGGCGGCGGGCGGCGCGGGGACUUGUUGUCUGCUGCCCCUCGUUUCGAUCCCCGUGCCCCCGGGCCGCCCCGCCGAGGGGUUUGGGGAGCUGCAGCCUGCCCUGUGCGUGCUGCGGGGAGGGGGCUCAGAGCCUUCGCUCGCCCUCCAGCGCCCUCGGGGCUGCGCGGACGCCGCGCUGGGCCGAGCCCAGGAGCGCUCUCCCGCGCCCGCCGGGACUAUGCGCGCUGGGGGAAAGUCGACCUUUCCCCCUCGACCUUACCCUGCGGGUAACCAAAGCUCCCUUUUAUUUUCAAUGUCACUUCGGAGUUUGCCUUUUGUUCCCCGCUACCUCUCGCUUCCAGGGAUACGGGCGGCUCCCCGCUGGCUCGGGGAGGGGCGAGCGGUUGCAAAGAUGUGUCAUUUAAAAACGACAGUGGAGCCUUUUCGACCAGCCCGGGUGGUGCCCGAGCUUUAUUUUCGUGCCAGGAGGAACGGAAAUAUUUUGCUUUUGUUUUCACAGCAAAACUCGAGAGCAAGUUACAGGAGGGUUGAUAGGAGCCCCGGCCCUUCCUUGUUACCCCAGGCUGGGGCUGCUGGGCCGUGCAGGGCUACCCAGCCAAGGGCCUACGCAUCGGGUGCGUGCCCACGGCAGCCCAGGAACCCGCGCAAACGGCGCGGAUGCCUGUUCUCGGAUGCCCUGCUGUCACUGACUUGGGAGUGACUGAGUGCUUCAGGAAUUGCACCCAAGUCUUUCUCUGCUUCCCAUCUGCUCUCCAGUCUGCGGCUUGAUCUGAGCUCCUCCCGGGGCUUUAAUUCGGAAGGAAACUGCCAGCUGUCCAACUGUGCCCCUGGCGGGGGCCAUCACUGCAAAGCGAGGCGCUGCACUUGUCAGCCGUGCCCCGGGAGGGACGCACCGUGACCGGACUCCGCGGUUCCUCACGGCGGAGAAACCCGCAGUAGCCUCCCUCUGGCCGCCGGGGAAAGCGCAGAGCCGGGCCGGGCCGGGCCGCGCCCACUGGGACUAACCUGGCCCUUCCGACUUGAUGCUGCUGUUGAAAUUUCACCCUAGCUAAGGCAAAACCAAAUAAAUGAGGAAACAGAAUGGGAUUUUGCUCAGUCGUCCUCGUAGGAGACCAGUGUAAUUACACGAAUAUUUGUCCCUUUUCACUGUGCGUUGCUCCAAUUCUAGAGGGAAGAAUUAGCUUCUUUUAAUGUUGCUGCAGCUCCACCUCAACACCCUCCCAUAGAAGUAGCUCUGCCUCUGAGCAGAAUUUCUCCCCCUCUGUGGGGAAAGUGCAAUUUUCCUGUUCCUGGAUCAAGAGGAACUGUUUAAUAAUUUGUGCCCAUUCCAAGUGCUCGCUUUUGAACAGCACAGUCAAACAAUUUCAAAUCGUGCUCUUGAUAGUUCACGGUCACAUACACAAAAGAUUCUCACUCAAAAACUGCCUGUUAGGUGUGACUCUUCCUCUUCUCCAGCUGCUUCCUACCUCCCAAGCCUAUGAAUUCACCCCACGAGGGCUGCUCUCAGUCCCUGCUCUGCAGGGGCAGCCUGAUUGCCCCAAGGUCUUCUCUGAGUGUGGAGAGUGAAUGUGCAAGUGCCAUCCGGGGCUGAAACCCUCAAAGGUAGAGCUGAGACGAGUCAGUAAGCUGACCUGGUAGGGCCAGAGUGACCCAACUGCCCACUGUGAGUGGCAGGUGGAUUUCUUCAUUUGUCACGUGAGCCAUAAAAAUCAGCAUUUCCCCUGAUUCUAAUUAAAAAAAAAAAAAAAAAAAAAAGCAAUCAAUGUUCACUCUGCCUUGAUUUUCUUCUGUUCCUUUCCUGGAAGAGAGGACACAGAAGUCUCCUAGGCAAAGAGGUCCAUUUCAGAAGCCCAAGCACAAUUCUGGGGAUGUUUCACCCCUUUUCACUUCAUGGGAACCAGAAUCUCUGGGAAGAUCAUGCCCUCAGUCUGGCUAGUACAACUGGUAGGUCUAGUUAAAAGCUGAUUUAAAAAGCUGCAGCACAAAGGAAGCCAUCUGUAGGGAAACUCAACAAUGAACUUUAUUGGUCCUGCUACCAAACCCAUUAACAAAGCUAUACUCUGCAGCAUUGUUUCCAGGGCUGGGUUUUGUUAACCAGCUACUGACAUAUAUAUAUGGCCCAGGGUGCUGAUGUAACAGGUGCAUUCCUCCUGCCAAGAAAGGGUUCAGUUCAGUUACCAGUUUCAGCUAGUUCAGUUUCAAAUACCAGUCUUUCAAGACUUUCCUUCUGUAAAUAGGGGCUCGAAAGUUUAUUGUACAAUUGGAUAUAUGCAUAACGUACAUGUCAGGGAAGCUCUGCUUGAGCCAUGAGACUUGUGUGCCACAGAAGUAAUUUGACAACUCUGACAACAGGUCCCAUCGCCUCUAAGUCUAUGGGUCAGGCAUUCUGAAGGCCAGAUCAGGUUCCAUCAACUGGACUACCCUGCAACACACUUGUCUUUCAAAGAGUGCUCUAAACCCAGUUUGUGUGGCUUGCUCACUCCAGUGCCAAUGACACCUAUACUGUCAUACAUAACUAUGGAAGCAGAAUUCCUCUAUUUUAUACAAGAAAUGGAGAUGGGGGAUAGUGAGUUACAACUGCUUGCAAUACAGAAUUACUACUGGGAGGAAUGAGUGUCUGUGCAUUUCUGUUACUGCAUGUAUCUUUGCUCGAACAUUGCCAUUUUCUCUCUCUGACAUUCACUCUGCUAAAUAUGUUUGCUUAUGUGAGCUGCAUAGUGUAAAAUAUAGGAUCUACCAAGGCAUUUUUCUUGCCAAGGAAGGUGAAGCAAAGGGUUCAUCAAUAUGUUUCACCUUUUCCUUCUCCCAAGAACAAGCAGUAACCUGGCAAAGAAAUUACACAGUUGGAAAGGGACUUAUUGCCCACUCUUGUGGCUAUGGGAAAUACAGAGCUGCUCCUAAAUGAGCUCCUCUUAUUGUAAUCAGCUAAUGUCCAUAUCUUCCUCAGUUGUGUUCCAGCAGCAACCUCUCUUCCCUUCUGACAUGUUAUUGAUCCAUUGAGCAGGAUUCUAUGGCUCCCAUAUUUUUAGGGGAUGGGUAGCACAGUUCCACUUGCAACUAAGGGCUGACUGAAAGGUUUCAUAGAUAUAACAAGACAUAGGCUCAGCCUUGCAGAACCUUUCUUCGUGGAGUUGAUCAAUCAGCAAGAAGGAAAGAAUGAAGUUCAGCUUGAGGUUCAGUUGUGUUGAAGGACCGAGAGUUGGGAAGCAAAACCAAAGCUUCUUUUAAUGUAAUCUAAGCAAUGCACCCAACAAGUUUCUGAAGGUCCAGAGGUAUUUAAUCUUUGAAUUAGAACAGCACUUUCUAUUCAAAUAAAAAACAUAUGCUAAAACAA